rnacentral:lncRNA from 1 species
CUAAAGGAUUCUGUUCAAUUCUAACUACCUAGCUGGGAACUGAACGGUAGAGUCAGGGUUGGGGAGUGAUAUGGUUUGGCUGUGUCCUCACUGAAAUCCCAUCAGGAAUUGUAGCUCCCAUAAUCCCCAUGUGUCAUGGGAGGAACCCAGUGGGAGGUAAUUGAAUCAUGGGGGCUAGUUUUCCCAUGCUGUUCUGCUGAUAGUGAAUGAGUCUCACAAGAUCUGGUGGUUUUAUAAAAGGAAGUUCCCCUGUGCAUGUUCUCCUGCCUGCCACCACAUAAGAUGUGCCUUUGUUCUUCCUUUGCCUCCGGCCAUGAUUUUGAGGACUCCCCAGCCAUGCUGAACUAAACUCGGACCCCACCAAAUGGAUCUGCUGGCACACAGACCUCAGAUAUGGAGGGACCGAGAGGACUGGAUUCUUGCUGCUGUGAAAGGAAAAUAAAAACUUGGAACCCCAAAUCUCUGUGCCAAAAGGAAAAAAUUAAGCUGAAAGCUGAGUCAUGCAAGAAGCUGCCUUUUCUUUUGCUCCUAAGCAGAGAGCUACAGAUAAAAGGUUAAAUAUCUCCACAGAUAGCUACUCUACGUUCACCUUAUCUUACGUAAAGUGCUGAUUUACUGAGCACCAGACAGACACAUAAUUGACUGUUCCCCUACCUGCUCCUUUUCUCUUGCAACACGUGGAUUCAGUAAUGUGACCAUACCCUCCUUCUUUCCCCUCCAGUCUGCUUUUCCCCUUUUAAAUAUUGAAGCCCUCAAAAUCACCUUUGGAGAAAGGCACAGACUUGUCUCCUGGGUACAUCCUUAACCUUGGCAAAAUAAACUUUUGAAUUAAUUGAGACCUGUCUCGGAUACUUUUUGGUUUGCACUGCCGUUCUUUGUUCUAAAUUUCUUCCUGAGGGGCCUGGAGGAGGUGAUGUCCACAAGCCAGACCUAACAUUCUUUUCUGCUGACCCCAAGUCUUUAGACAAAGCUUCUCGUCUUUAAUCAGUUACAAAUCAGAAAAUCUCUGAAUUCACCUAUGACCUGUGGGCCCCUGCUUUGAGCUGUCCUGUCUUUUUAGUUCAAACCAAUGUGUAAUCCCCAUGUAUUUGAAAGCAAAACAGGAGAGUUCCCUGAUCCCCCUCUCAGGACAUUCAGCAGGGGUGUGAAUCGCCUGUUCCCUCGUCUCCGCUGCUCAAACCCCUGAGGGGAGAGGGAGCAUGCAGAGGGACAGAUGCAGGAGACCAAGUGGGUAUGCAUUACAGUGUGCCCUUUUAGCCCUGCCAUCCGCAGACAGCUUAAGUGUUAAUCAGUUCAAUGGACCCUCUGCCUUUUUGCAAGGGCAGAGGGCCGGUGUGACACCUUUCUGUAUCCCAAGCUCUUUCCCAGUGUCCUGGAAGAAUCAAGUCACACAUGGGCUUGAAGGAUGAAUGUGGGGUUUUACUGGGUGGUGGAGGUGGCUCUCAGAGGGAUGGAUGGGGAGCUGGGAGGAUGCAGUGAGAGGAUGAUCUGCCCCUAGAGUUUGGCCAUCCAGUGGCCAAACUCCUCUCUGACAGCCCCCAGCUGAACUCCUCUCGGUGUUCAGACAUUCCUCCUCUUCUCUCUUUCUCUGCUGUGUCGUUCCACCAUUCAUCUGCGUGUUUCAUCUCCUCAUCUGCUUGUCUGCUCCUGGAACCUGGGGUUCAGGGUUUAUAUGGGUGCAGGAUCGGGGCAUGGCAGGCCAAAAGACAACUUUUUGGGAAUGAAAACAGAAAUGCCUGUUCCCACUUAGGGCCAUGGGGCUCCAGGCUCGAGGGGUGGGGCCUUUGCUGGGGAACCGACCUCUUCUACCCAGUAUUUCUCUGUCUCCUAUCCGUAUCAAAAGGAGUUAGCCAGCUUGCUUUAGGCAGACAGUAAAGAAAGAGCCCCCGGAGAACCUCCGACCUGGCCCACAAGUGCUUACACCAGAUAUUUUAUGCAUAUAAGGGA